UACGUAGGGUGCAAGCGUUGUCCGGAAUUAUUGGGCGUAAAGAGCUCGUAGGCGGUCUGUCGCGUCGAAUGUGAAAAUCCGAGGCUCAACCUCGGACCUGCAUUCGAUACGGGCAGACUAGAGUUCGGUAGGGGAGUCUGGAAUUCCUGGUGUAGCGGUGAAAUGCGCAGAUAUCAGGAGGAACACCGGUGGCGAAGGCGGGACUCUGGGCCGAUACUGACGCUGAGGAGCGAAAGCGUGGGGAGCGAACAGG
rnacentral:rRNA from 1 species